rnacentral:rRNA from 1 species
GACGAACGCUGGCGGCGUGCCUAAUACAUGCAAGUUGAGCGCUGAAGGUUGGUACUUGUACCAACUGGAUGAGCAGCGAACGGGUGAGUAACGCGUGGGGAAUCUGCCUUUGAGCGGGGGACAACAUUUGGAAACGAAUGCUAAUACCGCAUAAAAACUUUAAACACAAGUUUUAAGUUUGAAAGAUGCAAUUGCAUCACUCAAAGAUGAUCCCGCGUUGUAUUAGCUAGUUGGUGAGGUAAAGGCUCACCAAGGCGAUGAUACAUAGCCGACCUGAGAGGGUGAUCGGCCACAUUGGGACUGAGACACGGCCCAAACUCCUACGGGAGGCAGCAGUAGGGAAUCUUCGGCAAUGGACGAAAGUCUGACCGAGCAACGCCGCGUGAGUGAAGAAGGUUUUCGGAUCGUAAAACUCGGUUGGUAGAGAAGAACGUUGGUGAGAGUGGAAAGCUCAUCAAGUGACAGUAACUACCCAGAAAGGGACGGCUAACUACGUG